UACGGAGGGUGCAAGCGUUAUCCGGAUUCACUGGGUUUAAAGGGUGCGUAGGUGGGUUGGUAAGUCAGUGGUGAAAUCCCCGAGCUUAACUUGGGAACUGCCAUUGAUACUAUUAAUCUUGAAUACCGUGGAGGUCGGCGGAAUAUGUCAUGUAGCGGUGAAAUGCUUAGAUAUGACAUAGAACACCAAUUGCGAAGGCAGCUGGCUACACGAGUAUUGACACUGAGGCACGAAAGCGUGGGGAUCAAAC
rnacentral:rRNA from 1 species